AAUGAACGCUGGCGGCGUGCUUAACGCAUGCAAGUCGAACGAGGCUGAGGGGGCAACUCCUCAGUUUAGUGGCGGACGGGUGAGUAACACGUGGGUAACCUGCCCGGAAGUGGGGAAUACCUCGGGGAAACUCGAGCUAAUACCGCAUAACAUCUUCGGGACGAAAGUCCUGACGAUCAAAGCGGGGUCGCAAGAUCUCGCGCUACCGGAUGGGCCCGCGCCCGAUUAGCUAGUUGGUGGGGAACGGCUCACCAAGGCUUCGAUCGGUAACCGGCCUGAGAGGGCGAUCGGUCACACCGGAACUGAGACACGGUCCGGACUCCUACGGGAGGCAGCAGUGGGGAAUCUUGCGCAAUGGGCGAAAGCCUGACGCAGCAACGCCGCGUGGAGGAUGAAGGCCCUUGGGUUGUAAACUCCUGUCGGCUGGGAAGAAAUCUUCCGGGGUUAAUACCUCCGGAAGUUGACUGUACCAGCAAAGGAAGCCCCGGCUAACUCUGUGCCAGCAGCCGCCGCU
rnacentral:rRNA from 1 species